rnacentral:rRNA from 1 species
UACGGGAGGCAGCAGUGGGGAAUAUUGCACAAUGGGCGCAAGCCUGAUGCAGCCAUGCCGCGUGUAUGAAGAAGGCCUUCGGGUUGUAAAGUACUUUCAGUCGUGAGGAAGGUGUUAAGGUUAAUAACCUUAGCAAUUGACGUUAGCGACAGAAGAAGCACCGGCUAACUCCGUGCCAGCAGCCGCGGUAAUACGGAGGGUGCGAGCGUUAAUCGGAAUUACUGGGCGUAAAGGGCACGCAGGCGGUUAAUUAAGUUGGAUGUGAAAUCCCCGGGCUUAACCUGGGAAUGGCAUUCAAGACUGGUUAGCCAGAGUCUUGUAGAGGGGGUAGAAUUCCAUGUGUAGCGGUGAAAUGCGUAGAGAUGUGGAGGAAUACCGGGUGGCGAAGGCGGCCCCUGGGACAAGACUGACGCUCAUGUGCGAAAGCGUGGGGAGCGAAACAGGGAUUAGAUACC